rnacentral:misc_RNA from 1 species
UGAGAUUAUCAGUGACGAUGUGGAGA